GGUUUCCGGUUCUGAGCGAGGAGAGCGCGUGGCCGGGUGAGUGGCAUGGCGCCUGAGGGAGACGAAGAGCCUGGCGGAGAAGAGACGGCGGAGGCUUUCAAAGAGGCUUUGGCGGCGGGGACAGGCUGAGGGAGGCCCAGUAAGCGCGGGGAUAGGGCAGGGCCGCCGGUUGGGUUGAGGAGGACUUCAUCCCGCAGACUUCCUCGCCAGGCUCCAGGUUGGACUCGUCCUUCCGAGGUGCUUUGGAGAAUAGCUUGACUUGGCUAUCAUGUCACCCCUAAUCUAUGAUGACCCGGGCUUGGCACGGAAACCACACCACCAGAACGAAGAUUUAACUCCCCUUUUUUUGUUCCAACUCCCCCCCCCCCAAAAAUCCCUCCGUUCACUGCAAAUCCAGGAACAAAGCUCUAAGCAUGCACCUCCAAUAGUUCCUGGCUGCUAUUAAUCGAGAGGAGCAGCUCAGUUCUGAGAGCAGCCACGGUUCAGGGAAGUUGGCUCCAAGGAGUCCUCGUCACAGACAAGAAGUCACUGGUACUGCAGCAUCACCCGGAGUAUAACUGUGUCACUGCGACCUCACACAUAGCCAGGCCAGCAUGGCAAACAAGGCAGACAAGCCCAACAAAGUAUCCAGAGGUCGGUAACAGCAGGUGAAGCUGGAAAAAGCAACGCUUGUUCAUGACAAACAUACCUCCCAACUGCGUCUCUUUAAACUUCAUUUCCCCAGCAUUUUAAUGUGAGGCCAGAGCAAGUUCUUAAAU